rnacentral:rRNA from 1 species
UGCAAGUCGAGCGAUCUCUUCGGAGAGAGCGGCGGACGGGUGAGUAACGCGUGGGUAACCUGCCCUGUACACACGGAUAACAUACCGAAAGGUAUACUAAUACGGGAUAACAUACGAAAGUCGCAUGGCUUUUGUAUCAAAGCUCCGGCGGUACAGGAUGGACCCGCGUCUGAUUAGCUAGUUGGUAAGGUAAUGGCUUACCAAGGCAACGAUCAGUAGCCGACCUGAGAGGGUGAUCGGCCACACUGGAACUGAGACACGGUCCAGACUCCUACGGGAGGCAGCAGUGGGGAAUAUUGCACAAUGGGCGAAAGCCUGAUGCAGCAACGCCGCGUGAGCGAUGAAGGCCUUCGGGUCGUAAAGCUCUGUCCUCAAGGAAGAUAAUGACGGUACUUGAGGAGGAAGCCCCGGCUAACUACGUGCCAGCAGCCGCGGUAAUACGUAGGGGGCUAGCGUUAUCCGGAAUUACUGGGCGUAAAGGGUGCGUAGGUGGUUUUUUAAGUCAGAAGUGAAAGGCUACGGCUCAACCGUAGUAAGCUUUUGAAACUAGAGAACUUGAGUGCAGGAGAGGAGAGUAGAAUUCCUAGUGUAGCGGUGAAAUGCGUAGAUAUUAGGAGGAAUACCAGUAGCGAAGGCGGCUCUCUGGACUGUAACUGACACUGAGGCACGAAAGCGUGGGGAGCAAACAGGAUUAGAUACCCUGGUAGUCCACGCCGUAAACGAUGAGUACUAGGUGUCGGGGGUUACYCCCYCUCGGUGCCGCAGCUAACGCAUUAAGUACUCCGCCUGGGAAGUACGCUCGCAAGAGUGAAACUCAAAGGAAUUGACGGGGACUCGCACAAGUAGCGGAGCAUGUGGUUUAAUUCGAAGCAACGCGAAGAACCUUACCUAAGCUUGACAUCYCACUGACUCUCCCUAAUCGGAGAUUUCCCUUUCGGGACAGUGGUGACAGGUGGUGCAUGGUGUCGUCAGCUCGUGUCGUGAGAUGUUGGUUAAGUUCCCGCAACGAGCGCAACCUUGCCUUUAGUUGCCAGCAUUAAGUUGGCACUCUAGAGGGACUGCCGAGG